rnacentral:rRNA from 1 species
AUUGAACGCUGGCGGCAUGCUUUACACAUGCAAGUCGAACGGUAACAGGGUGCUUGCACCGCUGACGAGUGGCGAACGGGUGAGUAAUGCGUCGGAACGCACCGAGUAAUGGGGGAUAACGCAGCGAAAGCUGUGCUAAUACCGCAUACGCUCUGAGGAGGAAAGCGGGGGACCUUCGGGCCUCGCGUUAUUCGAGCGGCCGACGUCUGAUUAGCUAGUAGGUGAGGUAAGAGCUCACCUAGGCGACGAUCAGUAGCGGGUCUGAGAGGAUGAUCCGGCACACUGGGACUGAGACACGGCCCAGACUCCUACGGGAGGCAGCAGUGGGGAAUUUUGGACAAUGGGCGCAAGCCUGAUCCAGCCAUGCCGCGUGUCUGAAGAAGGCCUUCGGGUUGUAAAGGACUUUUGUCAGGGAGGAAAUCCUUAGCGCUAAUACCGUUGAGGGAUGACAGUACCUGAAGAAUAAGCACCGGCUAACUACGUGCCAGCAGCCGCCGCAG